AGAAAAUAGCAUAUUCUCUGAAGGGC
rnacentral:piRNA from 1 species